rnacentral:rRNA from 1 species
GAUGAACGCUGGCGGCGUGCCUAAUACAUGCAAGUCGAGCGAACAGACGAGGAGCUUGCUCCUCUGACGUUAGCGGCGGACGGGUGAGUAACACGUGUAUAACCUCCCUAUAAGACUGGGAUCACUUCGGGAAACCGGAGCUAAUACCGGAUAAUAUAUUGAACCGCAUGGUUCAAUAGUGAAAUACGGUUUUUCUGUCACUUCUAGAUGGAUCUGCGCCGCAUUAGCUAGUUGGUAAGGUAACGGCUUACCAAGGCAACGAUGCGUAGCCGACCUGAGGGGGUGAUCGGCCACACUGGAACUGAGACACGGUCCAGACUCCUACGGGAGGCAGCAGUAGGGAAUCUUCCGCAAUGGGCGAAAGCCUGACGGAGCAACGCCGCGUGAGUGAUGAAGGUCUUCGGAUCGUAAAACUCUGUUAUGAGGGAAGAACAAAUGUGUAAGUAACUAUGCACGUCUUGACGGUACCUAAUCAGAAAGCAACGGCUAACUACGUG